AGUGUGGGUGAUGAAAACAUGACCUUAGGUUUGUCUUUUUGAGCCGUAUUGGUUCAAAGCUUUGACCUACCGAUGUUAGGACUUGUCAUAGUUACGCUGACACGCU